rnacentral:rRNA from 1 species
UUAAGCGACUAAGCGUACACGGUGGAUGCCCUGGCAGUCAGAGGCGAUGAAGGACGUGCUAAUCUGCGAUAAGCGUCGGUGAGGUGAUAUGAACCGUUAUAACCGGCGAUUUCCGAAUGGGGAAACCCAGUGUGUUUCGACACACUAUCAUUAACUGAAUCCAUAGGUUAAUGAGGCGAACCGGGGGAACUGAAACAUCUAAGUACCCCGAGGAAAAGAAAUCAACCGAGAUUCCCCCAGUAGCGGCGAGCGAACGGGGAGCAGCCCAGAGCCUGAAUCAGUGUGUGUGUUAGUGGAAGCGUCUGGAAAGGCGCGCGAUACAGGGUGACAGCCCCGUACACAAAAAUGCACAUGCUGUGAGCUCGAUGAGUAGGGCGGGACACGUGGUAUCCUGUCUGAAUAUGGGGGGACCAUCCUCCAAGGCUAAAUACUCCUGACUGACCGAUAGUGAACCAGUACCGUGAGGGAAAGGCGAAAAGAACCCCGGCGAGGGGAGUGAAAAAGAACCUGAAACCGUGUACGUACAAGCAGUGGGAGCCUCUUUAUGGGGUGACUGCGUACCUUUUGUAUAAUGGGUCAGCGACUUAUAUUCUGUAGCAAGGUUAACCGAAUAGGGGAGCCGAAGGGAAACCGAGUCUUAACUGGGCGUUAAGUUGCAGGGUAUAGACCCGAAACCCGGUGAUCUAGCCAUGGGCAGGUUGAAGGUUGGGUAACACUAACUGGAGGACCGAACCGACUAAUGUUGAAAAAUUAGCGGAUGACUUGUGGCUGGGGGUGAAAGGCCAAUCAAACCGGGAGAUAGCUGGUUCUCCCCGAAAGCUAUUUAGGUAGCGCCUCGUGAAUUCAUCUCCGGGGGUAGAGCACUGUUUCGGCAAGGGGGUCAUCCCGACUUACCAACCCGAUGCAAACUGCGAAUACCGGAGAAUGUUAUCACGGGAGACACACGGCGGGUGCUAACGUCCGUCGUGAAGAGGGAAACAACCCAGACCGCCAGCUAAGGUCCCAAAGUCAUGGUUAAGUGGGAAACGAUGUGGGAAGGCCCAGACAGCCAGGAUGUUGGCUUAGAAGCAGCCAUCAUUUAAAGAAAGCGUAAUAGCUCACUGGUCGAGUCGGCCUGCGCGGAAGAUGUAACGGGCUAAACCAUGCACCGAAGCUGCGGCAGCGACGCUUAUGCGUUGUUGGGUAGGGGAGCGUUCUGUAAGCCUGCGAAGGUGUGCUGUGAGGUAUGCUGGAGGUAUCAGAAGUGCGAAUGCUGACAUAAGUAACGAUAAAGCGGGUGAAAAGCCCGCUCGCCGGAAGACCAAGGGUUCCUGUCCAACGUUAAUCGGGGCAGGGUGAGUCGACCCCUAAGGCGAGGCCGAAAGGCGUAGUCGAUGGGAAACAGGUUAAUAUUCCUGUACUUGGUGUUACUGCGAAGGGGGGACGGAGAAGGCUAUGUUGGCCGGGCGACGGUUGUCCCGGUUUAAGCGUGUAGGCUGAUUUUCCAGGCAAAUCCGGAAAAUCAAGGCUGAGGCGUGAUGACGAGGCACUACGGUGCUGAAGCAACAAAUGCCCUGCUUCCAGGAAAAGCCUCUAAGCAUCAGGUAACAUCAAAUCGUACCCCAAACCGACACAGGUGGUCAGGUAGAGAAUACCAAGGCGCUUGAGAGAACUCGGGUGAAGGAACUAGGCAAAAUGGUGCCGUAACUUCGGGAGAAGGCACGCUGAUAUGUAGGUGAAGCGACUUGCUCGUGGAGCUGAAAUCAGUCGAAGAUACCAGCUGGCUGCAACUGUUUAUUAAAAACACAGCACUGUGCAAACACGAAAGUGGACGUAUACGGUGUGACGCCUGCCCGGUGCCGGAAGGUUAAUUGAUGGGGUUAGCGGUAACGCGAAGCUCUUGAUCGAAGCCCCGGUAAACGGCGGCCGUAACUAUAACGGUCCUAAGGUAGCGAAAUUCCUUGUCGGGUAAGUUCCGACCUGCACGAAUGGCGUAAUGAUGGCCAGGCUGUCUCCACCCGAGACUCAGUGAAAUUGAACUCGCUGUGAAGAUGCAGUGUACCCGCGGCAAGACGGAAAGACCCCGUGAACCUUUACUAUAGCUUGACACUGAACAUUGAGCCUUGAUGUGUAGGAUAGGUGGGAGGCUUUGAAGUGUGGACGCCAGUCUGCAUGGAGCCGGCCUUGAAAUACCACCCUUUAAUGUUUGAUGUUCUAACGUUGGCCCCUGAUCGGGGUUGCGGACAGUGUCUGGUGGGUAGUUUGACUGGGGCGGUCUCCUCCUAAAGAGUAACGGAGGAGCACGAAGGUUGGCUAAUCCUGGUCGGACAUCAGGAGGUUAGUGCAAUGGCAUAAGCCAGCUUGACUGCGAGCGUGACGGCGCGAGCAGGUGCGAAAGCAGGUCAUAGUGAUCCGGUGGUUCUGAAUGGAAGGGCCAUCGCUCAACGGAUAAAAGGUACUCCGGGGAUAACAGGCUGAUACCGCCCAAGAGUUCAUAUCGACGGCGGUGUUUGGCACCUCGAUGUCGGCUCAUCACAUCCUGGGGCUGAAGUAGGUCCCAAGGGUAUGGCUGUUCGCCAUUUAAAGUGGUACGCGAGCUGGGUUUAGAACGUCGUGAGACAGUUCGGUCCCUAUCUGCCGUGGGCGCUGGAGAACUGAGGGGGGCUGCUCCUAGUACGAGAGGACCGGAGUGGACGCAUCACUGGUGUUCGGGUUGUCAUGCCAAUGGCACUGCCCGGUAGCUAAAUGCGGAAGAGAUAAGUGCUGAAAGCAUCUAAGCACGAAACUUGCCCCGAGAUGAGUUCUCCCUGAGACUUAGAGUCUCCUGAAGGAACGUUGAAGACGACGACGUUGAUAGGCCGGGUGUGUAAGCGCAGCGAUGCGUUGAGCUAACCGGUACUAAUGAACCGUGAGGCUUAACCUU